CGGAGGGUGCAAGCGUUAUCCGGAUUUACUGGGUUUAAAGGGUGUGUAGGCGGGCUUUUAAGUCAGUGGUGAAAUCUCCGGGCUCAACCUGGAAACUGCCAUUGAUACUAUUAGUCUUGAAUUUUGUUGAGGUAGGCGGAAUAAGUCAUGUAGCGGUGAAAUGCAUAGAUAUGACUUAGAACACCAAUUGCGAAGGCAGCUUGCUAAACAAAUAUUGACGCUGAGGCACGAAAGCGUGGGGAUCAAACAGGAUUAGAUACCCUGGUAGUCCACGCCCUAAACGAUGAUUACUCGACAUACGCGAUACACAGUGUGUGUCUGAGCGAAAGCAUUAAGUAAUCCACCUGGGAAGUACGACCGCAAGGUUG
rnacentral:rRNA from 1 species